rnacentral:rRNA from 1 species
CCUACGGGUGGCAGCAGUGAGGAAUAUUGGUCAAUGGGCGCGAGCCUGAACCAGCCAAGUCGCGUGAGGGAAGACGGUCCUAUGGAUUGUAAACCUCUUUUGUCGGGGAGCAAAAGACGCCACGCGUGGCGUUCCGAGAGUACCCGAAGAAAAAGCAUCGGCUAACUCCGUGCAAGCAGCCGCGGUAAUACGGAGGAUGCGAGCGUUAUCCGGAUCUAUUGGGUUUAAAGGGUGCGCAGGCGGAAUAUUAAGUCAGCGGUAAAAUUGAGAGGCUCAACCUCAGCGAGCCGUUGAAACUGGUAUUCUUGAGUGAGUGAGAGGUAGGCGGAAUGCGUGGUGUAGCGGUGAAAUGCAUAGAUAUCACGCAGAACACCGAUGGCGAAGGCAGCAUACCGGCGCUCAACUGACGCUCAUGCACGAAAGUGUGGGUAUCGAACAGGAUUAGAUACCCCAGUAGUC